rnacentral:misc_RNA from 1 species
GAUGAAGAACGUAGCGAAAUGCGAUAAGUAAUGUGAAUUGCAGAAUUCAGUGAAUCAUCGAAUCUUUGAACGCAUCUUGCGCUCCUUGGUAUUCUGAGGAGCAUGCCUGUUUGAGUGUCAUUAAAUUCUCAACUACACUGACUUUGAAUUGGUGUGGCUUGGAUUUGGGGGGAAAAUUGUUGUGGGCUUUUUGUAUAGUCUGCUCCCCUGAAAUUGAUUAGCGGUACCUUUGUGGAACUGUCUACAGGUGUGAUAAUUAUCUACAUCUUAGACAUCUGCUGGAAUGCUGCUUUCUAAACCUUACUUGUAUUGACAAUCUUGACCUCAAAUCAGGUAGGACUACCCGCUGAACUUUAGCAUAUCAAUAAGCGGAGGA